rnacentral:lncRNA from 1 species
ACAUGAAUCAAAAUAAACAAACAAGAGGGAGCCUUCACAAAGGUUGCUCAAGGGAAGUCUCAGCAGUCGGUAGAGCCCCUGAAAGAGAAAGCACCGGAGGGUGGUUAUCCGGAGCCUCAGUACUGGAAAGAACCCCAGAAUGAGGAGGCAUUGGAGGUUGAUCAUUUGGAGCUUCAUUAUGCGGUACAGCCUCAGAAGACGAAGGCAAUAAAUGCCUUUGGAACAAACCCACAAACCUUUUAUGAUCAAGUAAAGCCUGACCAUCAGAUUCCUGCAUCUGGUCAAGUUUCCUCUUCAUGUUUGUAGCAUAGUCAUGCGCGAGCCUGUGCAACUGUUUAUUCUCAUCCUUGAGCCCUCUAAUCUCAUGUUUGAGACUUAUCACUUCAGCAGCCAAUGAUUCAACUU